AUUGAACGCUGGCGGCAGGCCUAACACAUGCAAGUCGAACGAGUGGCGGACGGGUGAGUAAUGUCUGGGACACUGCCUGAUGGAGGGGGAUACCUACUGGAAACGGUAGCUAAUACCGCAUACCAUCAGAUGUGCCCAGAUGGGAUUCGCUAGUGGGUGGGGUAACGGCUCACCAAGGCGACGCUCCCUAGCUGGUCUGAGAGGAUGACCAGCCACACGGGAACUGAGACACGGUCCAGACUCCUACGGGAGGAAGCAGUGGGGAAUAGUGCACAAUGGGCGCAAGCCGGAUGCAGCCAGGCCGCGGGUAUGAAGAAGGCCUUCGGGUUGUAAAGUACUUUCAGCGGGGAGGCGGUACCCGCAGAAGAAGCACCGGCUAACUCCGUGCCAGCAGCCGCGGUAAUUC
rnacentral:rRNA from 1 species